GUUGAUAAGGUUAAGUGAAUAAGGGCGCACGGUGGAUGCCUUGGCACUAGGAGCCGAUGAAGGACGGGACUAACACCGAUAUGCUUUGGGGAGCUGUACGUAAGCUAUGAUCCAGAGAUUUCCGAAUGGGGGAACCCAACAUCUUUAAUAGGAUGUUACGAUUGUGUGAAUACAUAGCACAUUCGAGGUAGACGCAGAGAACUGAAACAUCUAAGUACCUGCAGGAAGAGAAAGAAAAUUCGAUUCCCUGAGUAGCGGCGAGCGAAACGGGAAAAGCCCAAACCAGCAAGCUUGCUUGUUGGGGUUGUAGGACUCCAAUAUGGUAGUUCUUUCAGAUAGUCGAAUGACUUGGAAAAGUCAGUCAAAGAGGGUAAAAACCCCGUAGACGAAAUGUGGAAGACACCUAGGAGGAUCCUGAGUACGGCGGAACACGAGAAAUUCCGUCGGAAUCCGGGAGGACCAUCUCCCAAGGCUAAAUACUCCCUAGUGACCGAUAGUGAACCAGUACCGUGAGGGAAAGGUGAAAAGCACCCCGGAAGGGGAGUGAAAUAGAACCUGAAACCGUGUGCCUACAACAAGUCAAAGCCCGUUAAUGGGUGAUGGCGUGCCUUUUGUAGAAUGAACCGGCGAGUUACGAUUGCAUGCGAGGUUAAGUUGAAGAGACGGAGCCGCAGCGAAAGCGAGUCUGAAUAGGGCGUUUGAGUAUGUAGUCGUAGACCCGAAACCAUGUGAUCUACCCAUGUCCAGGUUGAAGGUGCGGUAAAACGCACUGGAGGACCGAACCCACGUACGUUGAAAAGUGCGGGGAUGAGGUGUGGGUAGCGGAGAAAUUCCAAACGAACUUGGAGAUAGCUGGUUCUCUCCGAAAUAGCUUUAGGGCUAGCCUCGGAAUUGAGAAUGAUGGAGGUAGAGCACUGUUUGGACUAGGGGCCCAUCUCGGGUUACCGAAUUCAGAUAAACUCCGAAUGCCAUUCAUUCAUAUCCGGGAGUCAGACUGUGAGUGAUAAGAUCCAUAGUCGAAAGGGAAACAGCCCAGACCACCAGCUAAGGUCCCAAAAUAUAUGUUAAGUGGAAAAGGAUGUGGGGUUGCACAGACAACUAGGAUGUUGGCUUAGAAGCAGCCACCAUUUAAAGAGUGCGUAAUAGCUCACUAGUCGAGUGACCCUGCGCCGAAAAUGUACCGGGGCUAAACAUAUUACCGAAGCUGUGGAGUACACCUUUAGGUGUAUUGGUAGGAGAGCGUUCUAAGGGCGUUGAAGGCAGAUCGUGAGGACUGCUGGAGCGCUUAGAAGUGAGAAUGCCGGUAUGAGUAGCGAAAGACAGGUGAGAAUCCUGUCCACCGAAUGACUAAGGUUUCCUGGGGAAGGCUCGUCCGCCCAGGGUUAGUCGGGACCUAAGCCGAGGCCGACAGGCGUAGGCGAUGGAUAACAGGUUGAUAUUCCUGUACCCGUUGUUUUUGUUUGAGCAAUGGAGGGACGCAGGAGGCUAAGGAAUGCAGACGAUCGGAAAUGUCUGUCCAAGCAGUAAGUCUGAAGAGGAGUCAAAUGCUUCUUUUCUUAAGGA
rnacentral:rRNA from 1 species